UACAGAGGUCUCAAGCGUUGUUCGGAUUCAUUGGGCGUAAAGGGUGUGUAGGUGGCGCCGUAAGUCGGGUGUGAAAUUUCGGAGCUUAACUCCGAAACUGCAUUCGAUACUGCCGUGCUUGAGGACUGGAGAGGAGACUGGAAUUUACGGUGUAGCGGUGAAAUGCGUAGAUAUCGUAAGGAAGACCCAGUGGCGAAGGCGGGUCU
rnacentral:rRNA from 1 species